AGCGAACGCUGGCGGCAGGCUUAACACAUGCAAGUCGAACGCACCUUCGGGUGAGUGGCAGACGGGUGAGUAACACGUGGGAACGUACCCUUCGGUUCGGAAUAACUCAGGGAAACUUGAGCUAAUACCGGAUACGCCCUUACGGGGAAAGAUUUAUUGCCGAUGGAUCGGCCCGCGGCUGAUUAGCUAGUUGGUGAGGUAAUGGCUCACCAAGGCGACGAUCAGUAGCUGGUCUGAGAGGAUGAUCAGCCACACUGGGACCGAGACACGGCCCAGACUCCUACGGGAGGCAGCAGUGGGGAAUAUUGGACAAUGGGCGAAAGCUUGAUCCAGCCAUGCCGCGUGAGUGAUGAAGGCCCUAGGGUUGUAAAGCUCUUUCGGCGGGGACGAUAAUGACGGUACCCGCAGAAGAAGCCCCGGCUAACUUCGUGCCAGCCGCCGCAGUAAUAC
rnacentral:rRNA from 1 species